UUAAGUUUCCGCAUAUCCCGUGUGUACUCAAUUUCUACACAGAGGAGUACACAACACGACCAUUGUCACCUUCCGCUUAGAGAUUUACAUAUUAUUUUUUCUUUACACAAAGAUCAUGUGAAUUAAGUGUAUGCACAGUACCAUCCAUAGAUAUAUAAUUGCAGGACAAGUCUCGCAGGACAAGUCUCGAUGAUGUGGCGCAACCAAAACUUAGCAUUUGUAUUUAUCUAUUUUUAUAAGUUUUUGACAAUUAAUCCUGCUUCAAAUUGCCAAUUAAUCCCAGUUUAAUACAACCACGUAGCUGCCAGAAGGUUCCACGAUCAUAAACGCCACUUUGCUUUACUAAUUCUGCCGCAAAAGGUUCGACAACAAAAUACGACGCUUACUCAAUUCUACCUUAUUUCACGGGACUCUUCCUGUUCUUCCUAUUCUCCCUGUUCUUGCCAUCAACACCGUCGUUUAAGUGCCAUUUCCGAGAGGGAUGUCUAUAUCGUCUUCUCGCUAGACUAUGCAAAUCUGCUCUGUGGUGCCGGAAGAAGACAGGAUGACUCCCUAUGCAAAAAAGUUAAGAUCUUUAGGUCUCCUUAAUACUUAUUUGAUUGCUUUCAUACAGUUUUAGAUCUUUUUAUUUCAUGUUUUUGUCAAAUUAGCAGAUUAGUGAUGUUAAGUCUUCCUUCAAGGGUUUUCUAAAAGAACUAAGCCAAGUUUGUUAUUUUGGGGUUUCUCCAGUUAUUGCUAAGUGACUAUUUCUGAAGUUAGGAUUUGUGUACCUAUUGCAGAUUGCAAUUUAUUGAAUAUUCUAUAAUAUAUGUAACUAUUCUGUUCUAUGCCCUUGGACGCUGCCCAUUGAUUGGUUCAGUUUUCCUGAUUUACUAUCGUGGCGUUGGGUCUUUAAAACUAUGGUUAAAGGAUAUUUGCUUUUGUUAUCCCUUUCCAAAUCUUAGCCUACUUUCUCCAUGACUUUUGAUUGAACUACAUAAGGAUACCUAUUAACAACAUUUUUCCCUCAACUUAAACAUAUAAUAGUACAAAACUCUCACUAUACAAUGUUUGUGGUCAAGAAUGAUUCGCCAAAUAGUUCAAUUUGAUAAGGCUGAUCAGAAAGAAAAAAAAGGUUAGAGGACCGUAUUUACAUGAUCUAGAAUAAACUUUAAGAAGGUUGUGAUUCUACUUCUUCCUACAAAUUAAUAUCCAUCAGGUUAUCCUAAACACUUUCGUAUAUGCCCACGCCAUCAGGAACAAAUUACAGAGAAUAAGACUUUCUAGACCGUCUUGUUUUCCAGGAAAUAAAUUGGAUAAAUACAAAGAAGUAGAUAUGAACUUCUAAUAUUACCUAAAAGUUUUGGAUGGAUAAUUUUGCAGGUUCUGCUAGAAUUAAGAGAAAGAAAACUGUCAUACCUACAAUUUGACUAGCAAUGGUCACAGUAACUGACUAAUGAUCCAUCUUGUGUGGAUCUAAAUUCUGCUUCUGCAAGUAUGCAGCUGCUAUCACCACUAUUGUGCAUACAUAGUUUGAACAAAACACAAUGGGUUGAAUCCACAGAAUCGUUCCAAGAUACGCCUCUAUACCGAGUAGUAUUUCUCAUAAUCAUCUUUCUCAUGUAGUUUUAUUCUUCGACUAUUUUUUCUCUUUUUUUGUAUAACUUCUUUGGUUACAUAAUUAAUAUAGUGUUUGAAUGCUCUCUUUCUCUCAUGCUCUUUUGACAGCUUCAAGCCCAUAAUUUAGUAGCCUUUGACCUGUUUGGCUCUGCAUCCGGAAUUGAUCCUUCUAUGCAACAAUUGUUUGGAACUAGAGCAUUUGGAUUUUGGAGUAACCUCAUUAGAAUCAUUAAUUACAACUUCUUUUUGAUGUUAAAAGUCUCUCGGCGGUAAAAUCUUGAAUAUAGAUCUAUUAUUUAGUUCCUUUUUACCAACUGCUGUUUUUGAAGUCAGUAUUUUUGUGCUUUGUAUUGGCAAUGUAAGAUUUCAUGCAUCAAAUUGUGAAGCCUUAAUUGGAGAACCCAAAAGGUAUUUAUGCUUUCUUGAGUUAUUUUCCUUUUCUGGAUUUUGACAAUAUAGCCAAAAUAUUCUUUCCUUUUAAAAAGAGCUGCACAAUAUCUGGUUGAGUUAUAUUACACAUUGUUGCAGCGAAAUACUUCAGUUGUGAUUAUCUAUACUUACCAAAUUGAGUUAUCAAAAUUAAACAAGAAAGAAGUCUAUCGGGGGUCUUUUUUCUUUAUUCUUAUUGCUGAGGAGUUCUUUUGGUUGCUUAAAAAUUUGGCCCUGAUAAAGUUACUACUAAGUUUGAGCAGAGGCCUCCAUCGUAUCCCCGAUUUGAAUAUGUUCUUUUGGUUAACUACAUCCGUGUCUCGGGAAAGUUUUUGUAUGAGAGACGUAUUGACUGUGAGCUUUAGUAAUGAGAAUCAGUCCCACAACGGUGAUUAUUGCUUGAGUUUCUACCAGAGUAAUGCGACACAUGUUUUCCCAAAUGAAGGAUAAAUCUCUAUUUUAUUUUGAUAAUGAGUUUUGAGUUUUAAGAUGCUCACAAUUUAGUACCAAGAAACAGAAAACAUAUCCUUGGAAAUUCCUAAUCCAGAUAGGCCAACAUAGAGAUGGGACAUAUUAGAGCCACAUUCUAGGUGUUAGAGAUUGGAAUUUUAACUAUACUAUCUAUUUAUCUUCCUCUUUUUUUUCCUGUUUUUAUUCUAUAUUCACCCUUCUGUAGUAUAAUAACUAUCAAGUGUAGUUUCUAUGUUGAAUCUGUUGAGGAGAUAUUGAAAAAGAUUUUGGGAUAAUGCAUCACCUUUGUUUGAUGUUUGCCAUCUAUUUGUCUUCUUUUUCUUUGUGAUCUACCUUUGUAACUUGCUUUGUUAUCUUCUCUUUUUUCCUUUUUGCAUUACUUUAUUAGUAAAUUAGCAUGUUUUUACUGAUUCUGAUUCUGGUUCUGGAUGCUCCCUUUCUCUUAGGAAUUGAAUUUAGUGAAAAGGUACGAAAGCAAAAUCCAAGAAAUAGGAGUAAAAUUGCUUAAUUUUCAUAACUUCAAUAGUUAAAAAGCACGAUGAACCUGUUGAUUAUUUGGGGUUUGACUAUGUAACUUCAUUCAUAGGAUUUCAACUUCACCGUCAAGUCAGCAAAUGGAUUCAUGUUAGGGCACUUAAUUCCUAAUUCUAUCUUGGUCAAUACUGGUGACCUUCUUGAUUGGAAGAUUUUCGAUGUGUAUAUGCAAGACAUUGUACCUUAGAGCUAUGGUGAACACAAUUAAGCAUAUCAAUAGCUGCUACACUCAUGGUCUGUCACUUGAAAUAAUUUGUCCCUCAUUUGUAUAAAGUGACAACAACCAUCCAAUUUAUAACUUUAGAUUAGUGAAGUACUAAGGACUACAUGGAUUUGCAGUAACCAGCUUGACCAAACAAUCCCGCUUGGAACGAGUUGGGAUUCAGAGGAAUUGAAGUUUGAUUUUUCCCGUGGGGGGCAGUGUUUCGCAGUGUUGCUGAGGAUCGCUGGAUAAAAUUUUGUAUUUGUCCUCAAUCUUUUUGUCCUUUCCCUUAUUUUUUGAUAUAUCUUAUUGUGUGUUUAAAAGUCUCAAUUGUUAUUACUCCAACAUUUCCUUUUUAUGUACAGCAAAAAGUUCAAAAGGCU